UUAUGUAACAUAACGCCCCUAAAAACUGAUGUCGAACACAUGUUCCAGCGCCAGCCAGUGUAUCCUGGGCAGGGAGCACGCGUGAAACGUGUCCUUUUUUCCGGUAUUUUUGGCCAAGUGUUUCGGGAUUUUAUUGCCGUUGACAACUGCUCUGCACCUUCCUUUGCCAUUGGAUAUCUUCUGGUGUCCUCACUGUCCUGGCAUCCGCAGGACAAAAGCUGGCAGUGGCAAAAGCGAAAGCGAAAGCGAAUACGAAAACGAUGACAAAUUGAAAGCGACAGCCCUGACGACCAGAGUCCUGCCUCCGCGCCCGCGACUCGCGUCCAGGAUUAAGGGAUAUGCUCCAAAGUUUACGCAUUACGCAACGGGCCACAAUUUCUAAUUUCUGCUCCUAAGUAAAAUAUCCUGCGUCCUUGGGGCGUCGCCCGUUAAUGCGCCUGCAUCAUAAACAUGAACAGCCACAGCCACAGCCACGACAGCAACAGGACAACAAUGGGAACAUAAUGGCAUCGGUGGCACAAAUCCCAUUUAAUUGUCUGUAGCGCCCCGAAAUGACGCCUCGAGUUCCUUUUUCGUCCUUUGCGGGCCAGCUUGCCCGAAGAUGUGGCAAAUGUCUUUUUAAUAGCCCCCACGUCCUGGCCGGCAGUGCCGACAAGUGUUUGAUUUGAAAUUAUGUAAUGGACCGCCGCCGAGCAGCCGACUCAACAAAUCCUGAUAUUAUGAUUUCAAUCUCGAAUUGUUUUCGCUGGAAUACGCUGGUCGAGACAAUAGCUGGCAGGACAGGACUCGACUAGGACACAAAGGGUAGUCGUGGAGUUAAAAUGUAACGAAUGUGGGUAUAAAAAACGAAACCAGGACACUGUUUGCCAUUCUAUUGACUAUGUUGCCAGGGGACCCGAAAUUGUGCGGUUCCCCUUUCACCUCUGGGACUCCGAAGUCCCAAAUGAACUCCCUAGAACACGGCCAAUAAAACGAUCCACAUGCAACGAUAA